rnacentral:rRNA from 1 species
GUCAGGUAUAAAUGUACCAAGGCUAGCGAGUUAACUACAGUUAAGGAACUCUGCAAAUUGACUCCGUAAGUUAGCAAUAAGGAGUGCUCCCUAAUAAGGAGCCGCAGUGAAUAGCGAGGGGGGACUGUUUAACAAAAACACAGCUCUAUGCUAAGUCGCAAGACGAUGUAUAUGGGGUGACACCUGCCCAAUGCUGUAAGGUUAAAGAAGGAUGUUAGCAGCAAUGCGAAGCUUCUAACUGAAGCCCCAGUGAAUGGCGGCCGUAACUAUAACGGUCCUAAGGUAGCGAAAUUCCUUGUCGGGUAAAUUCCGUCCCGCUUGAAUGGUGUAACCAUCUCUUGACUGUCUCGACUGUAGACUCGGUGAAAUCCUGGUGAGAGUGAAGACGCUCUCUUGGCGUGAUUGGACGGAAAGACCCCAUGAAGCUUUACUGUAGCUUAAUAUUGAAGCGUUUGAUUGUUUGUAGAGCAUAGGUAGGAGACUAUGAAGUAGAUUCGCUAGGAUCUAUGGAGUCGCCGUUGGAAUACUACCCUUGCAAUUAGAUUCUUCUAACCUGCAGCCAUGAACCUGGCUGGGGGACAGUGUUAGGUGGGCAGUUUGACUGGGGCGGUCGCCUCCCAAAAGGUAACGGAGGCGCGCAAAGGUACCCUCAGCACGGUCGGAAAUCGUGUUUAGAGUGUAAUGGUAUAAGGGUGCUUGACUGUGAGACUUACAAGUCGAACAGGUAGGAAACUAGGUCAUAGUGAUCCGGUGGUUCAGUAUGGAAUGGCCAUCGCUCAACGGAUAAAAGCUACUCUGGGGAUAACAGGCUGAUAGUGCCCAAGAGUUCAUAUCGACGGCACUGUUUGGCACCUCGAUGUCGACUCAUCUCAUCCUGGAGCUGGAGCAGGUUCCAAGGGUUCGGCUGUUCGCCGAUUAAAGAGAUACGUGAGUUGGGUUCAAACCGUCGUGAGACAGGUUGGUCCCUAUCUGUCAUGCCCG